CUUCACUAUGCUGAGACGAUCCUCAGGUGGCCAGUGAUAGAGGCUAUGUUUGGCUUCUCACUGGGAUUCCUCAUCCCUGGCCGUUUACUCUGAUGUCAUUAACAUGAUUAUUCCACACCUUCCUCUUUGAAAUUGACUUGUUUGAUUGAUAACCAGUUAAUUAGUGAACGCAAAUACUGUAAACAAUUAUUUUACAGGUGCUCUGUAGACACACCCCUCUCCUAUUUCCCAACAUAUUUGUUGAUAAUUCCCCUCUCUUCCAGCCCAGAUGUAUGGUGUGUAUACGUGGCAGCCAUGUUUUCCCUUUCAGAUUGUCGCUUGUGUCAAUAGCUGACAGGUACAACAUGUGAGUGUGUUUUAACCUAUUCUUAAGCAAUGGGAAAUUACCUAAUUUGGAAUGCACUGAAAUUAUAGUUGUAUUUUGCUCAAAUCUCUAGAAAUAUGCACUUUGAUGAGAACAACCAUUUGAUCUGGAGAGACAUGAUCCAGCCCAUCACUGAGAGUGGCCCUAAAGUAGAGGUCAGGAGGUUAAAGUGUCCAUUACUGAUGGUCAUUGGAGAAGCUGACCAGAACUGUGCCACUACAGAAUCUGUCCAGGAUAUGCGCAGUACAGUAUGUUGGAGAGGGCAGGGAACCUGUGUCUUACCCUGGGGCUGGUCAACGGAUCAAACCUUUCUACACUCCUCACUUCCGCUCCAGAACCUCCAGGGGUAAAGUGAUCAUGUUGUGGGGAGGGGAGUCCAAAUGGAGGAGGAUCCUGGAGUUCCUUCAGAAGAACCUGUACCAAAGACAGGACCCCUCUGUCCCCUCAGAGCUGUCAGAUCCUCCUGGACUAUCUCCAUUAUUAUAGUCGUCGCUUCUCCAGCUUCAUUAUCUGUCAGGGCCCUAUUCUUGAAAUUAAGUAGAGACAAUAUUGGUUGGAUUUGUUUUUACUCACCAGGUGGCAGCAUUGCACAGUCUCUUAAAUGACUGGUCUGCUGCUCGUAGGUGUCAUAGUAGUCAAUGUCCUGACAAUUACAAGGAGGAAGAAGAGGAGAUGGUCGACAUCGGCCUUUCAUCAAAGUCCUUAUAGGGAAGCCUUUCUGUUUAAAGGAUCAGACCUUGGCUGCUCGGUCACGGUUGAGUUGCGGUCUUCUAGCCAGUCUGGUUUGGAUUCCAAACUCCUGUGAGGUGACAUGAAGUGUUAUUGAUCUCAGCUGAGUUGGAGAGAAUGAACACCGCUGCCUUUAACUCUCAUCAACUGCAUACUUUUUUCUUUUUUACAUGUCACCCAUAUAUUCUCACUCCAGAUUCCAUUCUGGCAAAGGGGACCGAUGGCCUAAACAUCUCCAUGUGUUGCACAUAUAUUAAACCAAUAGCCUGGUCUGGAUCUGCUUGUGCUGUAUUGCUCCUAUGGUCAUUAUCAUCCCAAACAUCGUCAUGCACAAACAGAUCUGGGACUACGUAGGCUACUAAACCAAUGCCUUGUCUCGUGAUGAAGGAUAAGUUCCCAAUCUGGCAACCUGCCAUGCCAUUAAACUAAGGCCUUGUCUAGUGAUGAAGGAAAAAUACCCAAUCUGGCAACCCGCCGUGCUGUUAAACCUUUACAGACUCAGCAGCCUUGUGGUGUGACUUGGCAUCCCCCCCCUUCCCCCUAUUAUUUUGAGGAGGAAGUAAUCCAGCGCCUGUAUCCCAUGCAUCAGACACACUCUCCGGCCCCGCCAUGAAAAACAUUCCACUGGCAGCCCCUCAGCACGGCCAAAAUGGGCCAAAUUCCUACUUUUGAAACUCCAUUGAAAGAAUAUGUUCAUGUUGUGAGUCGAAAAAAAGAGGAAUAAUAGAUUAAAGCGAUUUUCAAAGAAAA
ensembl:lncRNA